ACUGACCCAUAUUAGAAGUGUCAAACUAACCAGACAGUCUCCCAUCAAAGGCAAAUAGGAAACUUCAGGGAAUAGGACAUUCAAUCCUGCUACGUCCAGAUCACCCUCAGCACUAGGGCUUUGGAAGCUGCAGACAUCAGCUGUAAUGAAGACACCAGAACCCCCAGUUGCUGUCACCCUGUACUGCUCAGGGAAAGCAGGUGUCUUUGUAAGACAAGAAUUCUUAUAGACUUUGACUGAAGGAUGAAUAAAUGAAAUGAUUGUAAAGAUUUGAUUGGAAAAAUGAACAACCUUCACUCAUACUCCUGAAUCUGAAAUAUCAAAAUUGAAUUAUCUUCUGCAUGGUGCAAUAACAGCAUUAG